rnacentral:misc_RNA from 1 species
GCAAACUUGGUCAUUUAGAGGAAGUAAAAGUCGUAACAAGGUUUCCGUAGGUGAACCUGCGGAAGGAUCAUUAACGAGAAUGUGGGUGUGGCGUGUGAGCUGCACACAUGAGCACACAAUGUGUGCACAUGAACGCCGUGUCAUUCCCUAUGGGGUAUGGCACAGGCACAUGAACGCGUGUAUGUGUGAUAUAUUGUGAUGUGUGUAUAAAAUAGUACAACUUUUAACAAUGGAUCUCUUGGCUCCUGCAUCGAUGAAGAACGCAGC